rnacentral:rRNA from 1 species
GACGAACGCUGGCGGCGUGCUUAACACAUGCAAGUCGAACGGUGAACCUCUUCGGAGGGGAUCAGUGGCGAACGGGUGAGUAACACGUGGGCAACCUGCCCCCGGCUCUGGGAUAACUCCAAGAAAUUGGGGCUAAUACCGGAUGUUCACCGCUUCCCGCAUGGGUGGUGGUGCAAAGGGUUUCCGGCUGGGGAUGGGCCCGCGGCCUAUCAGCUGGGUGGUGGGGUAGUGGCGUACCAAGGCGACGACGGGUAGCCGGCCUGGGAGGUUGACCGGCCACACUGGGCCUGCGACACGGCCCAGAGUCCAACGGGAGGCAGCAGUGGGGAAUAUUGCGCAAUGGGCGGAAGCCUGACGCAGCGACGCCGCGUGGGGGAUGACGGCCUUCGGGUUGUAAACCUCUUUCAGCAGGGACGAAGCGCAAGUGACGGUACCUGCAGAAGAAGCACCGGCCAACUACGUG